CGCUCAACUGGAUACAGCGCCGCGUCCCGUAAGGGAUGCAAGCCAACGAGCAAUGGCCUUCUAAGCCAUAGGUCGGGGGUUCGCGUCCCUCAGGGCAGGCCA
rnacentral:tRNA from 1 species